GGCGACCAGGCUUAGUGGUAAGAGUGGAUGCUUCGUAUGUAUGAUGUCCUGGGUUCAAUCCCCAGCUUCUCCU